GUAUUAAACAGAGUGCUAUACCAAGCGGGAACCUCGACCUGGUUGUACCAUUGCAUCAACACUUUUGAACAAAGUUUGUUGUGAAUACCGUGAACACUUUAGGAUUAAAUCAUCUGCAUAAAGAGGUGCAAAAAGGAAGCUGCAGCUGCCACUAACUGGAACCCUGAAAAGAAAAAAAAGAAAAGAACGCCCGUGUAUCAACACCUUUGGUGCAUCGCUAUUCCAAAAUUUAUGCAAAAAGCUACAGAAACAAGCUCAGUAGCAAAAAGUUUAAACAUAGACCCGGUUUAGUGGCACUGGGUAAACGCCAACGACAUAGAACAUGAAAUCACAAACAAGAAACAUAGAAGAACAGCACAAAACUCCACAAAGUCUAAAAUAGGUUAAUGAUGGGACCUAUCAGAGUCUUGGGCAAUUGGUAAAUAUAUCAAGAAACGCAAUGUCCUAGCUGGUCAGGCUUCUUGCAAACAACACCAACUGGAUGCCAUCCGGGGAAAUCACCUGUUUUGUUCCUUCCAAUAAUCGAUCUGAAUCCCAGUGAUUUGACGUGUAUUUACUCUACACAUGACUUUGUUGCCACACAAGCGAAAAUCUUUUUGGUCUCACCUAUCGUUAUAUUUGAUCAACAACUUUAUUGGAAGGCAGUGCAAAUGGUCCUGAACGAAGCAGUAAACAGUACACUCAAGGCUACGGUAAAAAGCUGUCGACCUAGAUCUAAACUCGUGCCUAGCAUUCCACAAAGGUCUUCGUGAACGCUCCAGUCAAGCAUAGUAUUAAGACCAGGCCGAAUACAGCCGACAAGGACGAGCUUAGCAUGGUUACUAGACUGCUG